rnacentral:rRNA from 1 species
UACGUAGGGGGCUAGCGUUGUCCGGAAUCAUUGGGCGUAAAGAGCUCGUAGGCGGUCUGUUGCGUCUGCUGUGAAAACCCGGGGCUUAACCCCUGGCUUGCAGUGGAUACGGACAGACUAGAGGUAGGUAGGGGAGAAUGGAAUUCCCGGUGUAGCGGUGAAAUGCGUAGAGAUCCGGAAGAACACCGGUGGCGAAGGCGGCCCGCUGGGCAGGAAGAUGGAGCAAUCCAUCGGCUGACGCUGAGGCGCGACAGCGUGGGGGAGCAAACAGG